UACGGGGGGAGCAAGCGUUGUUCGGAUUUACUGGGCGUAAAGGGCGCGUAGGCGGUAGCACAAGUCAGUUGUGAAAUCUCCGGGCUUAACUCGGAAAGGUCAACUGAUACUGUGCGACUAGAGUGCAGAAGGGGCAACUGGAAUUCUCGGUGUAGCGGUGAAAUGCGUAGAGAUCGGCAGGAACACCCAGGGGGAAACCAGUCGACUGGGCAUCUACUGACGCUGAGGUGCGAGAGCGUGGGGAGCGAACCGG
rnacentral:rRNA from 1 species